rnacentral:rRNA from 1 species
UACGUAGGGGGCAAGCGUUGUCCGGAAUUAUUGGGCGUAAAGAGCGUGUAGGCGGUCCGGUAAGUCAGCUGUGAAAGUCAAGGGCUCAACCCUUGAAAGCCGGUUGAUACUGUCGGGCUAGAGUCCGGAAGAGGCGAGUGGAAUUCCCGGUGUAGCGGUGAAAUGCGCAGAUAUCGGGAGGAACACCAAUGGCGAAGGCGGCAUCCUGGACCGGCAUUGACGCUGAGGCGCGAAAGCCAGGGGAGCAAACGGG